CUCGUCGGCGAAGGCGGCUACCGCAGGGUUGGGCGGUUGGGGUCGUCGUCCCCACGCCCGUCCAGCCGCGCCCCGCGCCGGCAUUGCCCUACCCCUACAUGAACCACAGGCAACUGAUCCGGCUACUGCAAUAAACAGCGAAAUUCGGGAGGUCGCGCGCGGGAGGGAAAUGCAAUUUGAUGGGGGCGCGCGAGUGGGGAUGUGAAGGAAGAGGAAUCCACAUGCAUGUUUGGAUAUGUGUGGCAAGCUCUUUGUCUUAGCCUGCGCCGGUAGGGUUUGAGAAAGCAACUUUUGCUGCUCCUGUUUGGCCUGGCGUAAGAAUUUGCUAGCCGAGACAAACUAGCAGCUUAGGGAACGGAGCGACAACACAUCAUUUUGCAGUGAACGACUACGUACGCAUCAAUUUCCACCACUAAUUAAAGCCUUGUUAUCAUCAUUAUAUAUGUUGAACAUUGAACUCAAAUCUCUUAUGUCUUCAAUUCGGAUGUAAGAUUCUGA